rnacentral:misc_RNA from 1 species
GUCUGCUCAAAUUUAUCGGCAGCAAGAGCCUCAGUUAUCUGCUUUCGACAAUCAGACAACAAGAGCUCAUGAUACUUAUCCCUGUGCUUGCUCAAGACGUCUAGCAAAGCCUCAACAGGGUAUCCAUAUCUACGCAAUGUGACACUAAGCAAACUCACAUAGUCCUUGAUUAAUAACAAAUGAUUCGCAGUUUGCAUUCUAGAGAACUGAUCUUCCAAAACAGAACACAUUUUACUCAUAGCAGUAUCCCAUAAAUUCUCCACCUCCAUUUUGGAAACCAACUUACCACCAGUCCUCAAGACUCGAUCUU